GAUAAGGAGCCUGAGCCGGCCGGUGGUGGCUGCUGUUGUGGGAAAGGACCUGCCUGUCAGUGACGAUGAAGAAAUGAAGAAAUCACUAUGUGUAACAGAGCACCAUUGAUGGAUCCUCGAGACAUUGGAAAUGCCAGCCAAACGUCUGACUAUAAAACCGUAAUAUCGCUUACCGUCACCUCGUGGAGUGGAUCCAGCGAGGGACUCGGAUAGGCGAUCGUCUUGUUUUACCUGCCUGUGUUGUUCAGGACAUCAGAAGAAGAAGCCGGCGAUGUUUCGAGGAGGUGUGGUUCGUCGCUGGAAACAUUUAUUCUAUUUUUUACUUUUAUAACAGGAGGUGGUUUUUAGUUUUGCAGUCAAU